rnacentral:rRNA from 1 species
CUCGGUCAUUUAGAGGAAGUAAAAGUCGUAACAAGGUCUCCGUAGGUGAACCUGCGGAGGGAUCAUUACUGAGUGAGGGCCUUCGGGCUCGACCUCCAACCCUUUGUGAACACAACUUGUUGCUUCGGGGGCGACCCUGCCGGUUCGACGGCGAGCGCUCCCGGAGGCCUUCAAACACUGCAUCCUUGCGUCGGAGUUUAAGUAAAUUAAACAAAACUUUCAACAACGGAUCUCUUGGUUCUGGCAUCGAUGAAGAACGCAGCGAAAUGCGAUAAGUAAUGUGAAUUGCAGAAUUCAGUGAAUCAUCGAAUCUUUGAACGCACAUUGCGCCCCUUGGUAUUCCGAGGGGCAUGCCUGUUCGAGCGUCAUUUCACCACUCAAGCCUCGCUUGGUAUUGGGCGCCGCGGUGUUCCGCGCGCCUCAAAGUCUCCGGCUGAGCUGUCCGUCUCUAAGCGUUGUGAUUUCAUUAAUCGCUUCGGAGCGCGGGCGGUCGCGGCCGUUAAAUCUUUCACAAGGUUGACCUCGGAUCAGGUAGGGAUACCCGCUGAACUUAAGCAUAUCAAUAAGCGGAGGA